UACGUAGGGUGCGAGCGUUGUCCGGAAUUAUUGGGCGUAAAGAGCUCGUAGGCGGUGUGUUACGUCGGCCGUGAAAACCUGCAGCUUAACUGUGGGCGUGCGGUCGAUACGGGCAUCACUGGAGUUCGGCAGGGGAGACUGGAAUUCCUGGUGUAGCGGUGAAAUGCGCAGAUAUCAGGAGGAACACCGGUGGCGAAGGCGGGUCUCUGGGCAACAACUGACGCUGAGGAGCGAAAGCGUGGGGAGCGAACAGG
rnacentral:rRNA from 1 species